rnacentral:rRNA from 1 species
CGGCCGCGGUAUCCUAACCGUGCGAAGGUAGCGUAAUCACUUGUUCUUUAAAUGAGGACUAGUAUGAAUGGCACCACGAGGGUUAAACUGUCUCCUUUUUUUAAUCAGUGAAACUAAUCUCCCCGUGAAGAAGCGGGGAUUCUUUUAUAAGACGAGAAGACCCUAUGGAGCUUUAAACAAGUUAACACCUGCUACUAAUCNNUUCACUUUCCUGAACCACCACAUUAAGUAUAGCACCUCUGAUUAACAGUUUUCGAUUGGGGUGAUCAUGGAGCAAAAAUCAACCUCCACGACGAAAAGGAACACCUCCUUGAGCCAAAAGCUACAACUUUAAGCACUAAAAAACUAACGCACUUUGACCCAAUUCUUUGAGCAACGAACCAAGUUACCCUAGGGAUAACAGCGCAAUCCACUUUAAGAGCUCCUAUCGACAAGUGGGUUUACGACCUCGAUGUUGGAUCAGGGUAUCCCAGUGGUGCAGCCGCUACUAAAGGUUCGUUUGUUCAACGAUUAAAACCCUACGUGAUCUGAGUUCAGACCGGAGUAAUCCAGGUCAGUUUCUAUCUAUAAAGGGCUUUUUCUAGUACGAAAGGACCGAAAAAGCAUGGCCUAUAACCCAUCAAGCCAUAUAAAUUACUAUUGUUCCCAACUUAAAUAGAAGUAAACCUACCACUUAUCUCGAUAAAAGAGAAGUUAACGUAGCAUAACCUGGCCUUGCAG